GACGAACGCUGGCGGCGUGCCUAACACAUGCAAGUCGAGCGAAGUUAUUCCUUCGGGAAUAACUUAGCGGCGGACGGGUGAGUAACACGUGGGUAACCUGCCUUAUAGAGGGGGAUAGCCUUCCGAAAGGAAGAUUAAUACCGCAUAACAUUAAGCUUUCGCAUGGAAGCUUAAUCAAAGGAGUAAUCCGCUAUAAGAUGGACCCGCGGCGCAUUAGCUAGUUGGUGAGGUAACGGCUCACCAAGGCGACGAUGCGUAGCCGACCUGAGAGGGUGAUCGGCCACAUUGGGACUGAGACACGGCCCAGACUCCUACGGGAGGCAGCAGUGGGGAAUAUUGCACAAUGGGGGAAACCCUGAUGCAGCAACGCCGCGUGAGUGAUGAAGGCCUUCGGGUUGUAAAGCUCUGUCUUUGGGGACGAUAAUGACGGUACCCAAGGAGGAAGCCACGGCUAACUACGUGCCAGCAGCCGCCGCGGUAA
rnacentral:rRNA from 1 species